UGGGGAAUAUUGCACAAUGGGGGAAACCCUGAUGCAGCAACGCCGCGUGAGUGAUGACGGCCUUCGGGUUGUAAAGCUCUGUCUUCAGGGACGAUAAUGACGGUACCUGAGGAGGAAGCCACGGCUAACUACGUGCCAGCAGCCGCGGUAAUACGUAGGUGGCAAGCGUUGUCCGGAUUUACUGGGCGUAAAGGGAGCGUAGGCGGACUUUUAAGUGAGAUGUGAAAUACCCGGGCUCAACCUGGGUGCUGCAUUUCAAACUGGAAGUCUAGAGUGCAGGAGAGGAGAGUGGAAUUCCUAGUGUAGCGGUGAAAUGCGUAGAGAUUAGGAAGAACACCAGUGGCGAAGGCGACUCUCUGGACUGUAACUGACGCUGAGGCAUGAAAGCGUGGGGAGCAAACA
rnacentral:rRNA from 1 species